UCACAGUUUACACUGGCAGUCUUGUUAGAGUUCCCGACAUGACUCGCUGGCAACUAACAACAGGGGUUGCGCUCGUUAUAGGACUUAACCUGACACCUCACGGCACGAGCUGACGACAACCAUGCAGCACCUUGUAAAUUGUCUUGCGAAAAGUCUGUUUCCAAACCGGAGGAAGGUGGGGAUGACGUCGAAUACGUAAC
rnacentral:misc_RNA from 1 species